AUUGAACGCUGGCGGCAGGCCUAACACAUGCAAGUCGAACGAGUGGCGGACGGGUGAGUAAUGUCUGGGAAACUGCCUGAUGGAGGGGGAUAACUACUGGAAACGGUAGCUAAUACCGCAUACCAUCGGAUGUGCCCAGAUGGGAUUGGCUAGUAGGUGGGGUAAAGGCUCACCUAGGCGACGAUCCCUAGCUGGUCUGAGAGGAUGACCAGCACAACUGGAACGGAGACACGGUCCAGACUCCUACGGGAGGCAGCGUUGGGGAAUAUUGCACAAUGGUGGAAAGCCUGAUGCAGCCAUGCCGCGUGUAUGAAGAAGGCCUUCGGGUUGUAAAGUACUUUCAGCGGGGAGGCGUUACCCGCAGAAGAAGCACCGGCUAACUCCGUGCCAGCAGCCGCGGUAAUAC
rnacentral:rRNA from 1 species